ensembl:rRNA 5S_rRNA 5S ribosomal RNA
GCCACUGCAUAUAUCACCCUGCAACUCACAACUGGCAACCCACUGAAGCUAAGCAGGUGUGAGCCUGGUCAGUACCUGGAUGGGAGACCUCCUGGGAAAAACUAAGGUUGCUGCUGGAA